CAGUAGCCGCGGGAAUACCGAGGAUGCAAGCGUUAUCCGGAAUGAUUGGGCGUAAAGCGACUGUAGGUGGCCUUUCAAGUCUGCAGUCAAAUCCCAAGGCUCAACCCUGGACAAGCGGUGGAAACUACCAAGAUGGAGUACGGUAGGGGCAGAGGGAAUUUCCGGUGUAGCGGUGAAAUGCGUAGAUAUCGGAAGGAACACCUGUGGCGAAGGCGGCCCACUGGUCCAUUACUGACGCUGAGGUGCGAAAGCGUGGGGAGCAAACAGGAUUAGAUACCCCUGUAGUCCCUGUCUCUUAUAA
rnacentral:rRNA from 1 species